GUAGGUGAACCUGCGGAAGGAUCAUUAUCGUACAAAAUGUGAGGAGCAUGCAAGGGCUGUCGCUGACUUCAAAGUCGUGCACGCCCGGGUGUGUCCCCUCACAUAAUAAUCCACCUCACCCUUUGUGCAUCACCGCGUGGGCACCCUUCGGGAUCAUCUCGGAGGGGGCUCGCGUUUUCACACAAACCCCCCCUUUUAAAAGUGUAGAAUGACCUCAUAUAUGCGCUAACCCGCAAUCAAUACAACUUUCAACAACGGAUCUCUUGGCUCUC
rnacentral:misc_RNA from 1 species